rnacentral:rRNA from 1 species
UACGGAGGGAGCUAGCGUUGUUCGGAAUUACUGGGCGUAAAGCGUGCGCAGGCGGUGAUGUAAGACAGAUGUGAAAUCCCCGGGCUCAACCUGGGAACUGCAUUUGUGACUGCAUCGCUGGAGUGCGGCAGAGGGGGAUGGAACUCCGCGUGUAGCAGUGAAAUGCGUAGAUAUGCGGAGGAACACCGAUGGCGAAGGCAAUCCCCUGGGCCUGCACUGACGCUCAUGCACGAAAGCGUGGGGAGCAAACAGG